GCUUGAAUUUUAAAUAUCACAUUCAUGGGACUAAACAGUGAAGAUGCUGGCAGUUUAUAUCUGGCCAGUAACAAAUCACAGAAAAAGCAGCUCUGUCUGUGAAGUAACAUGGAAGCUCGUUCAGCCAUGGACCACAUUCAUCACAAACUGAAGAUAAAGGCAUGUCUCAGUUUAUCUGAGAUAUUCAAGCUGUUUGGAAGAAUCUCAGUUUUUCUACUAGAAUACAGGCAAUUGAGGAGACCGUAAAUACCGAUUCCCAGAUUCCAGGAGUCACAAACUACAGACUGUUAGAUGGUACCAUGUUUCAGUAUGGUGUCUGAGAUUAUUCUCCUAUAUAAAACAAAGGGGAUUUUUUUUCCUUAAUUCAUAUCUGCUGAUUCUUAGUAUUUAAAAAGAUGGGCAAACGUAGAAACCUUGCUUGAAAUUAUUUAGAAUCACUAAAUAAUGUGCACAUUCAUCACAGAGCUAACAGUAAUAUUUAUGCUUGUGCUUUUUACAAACUAUUAACCACAAGUUUGAAAAUGGUCUAUUCUGCACCCUUCUUCCUCACAACAGUUCUUUAUCUGAGGUGGUAACGAGUAUUAAAGUUAAAUUAUAAAGGAAAUUGGCUACUUGUAUCUUCUGUGUAGAGACAGAAAAACAUUAAAGGGCAGCCCCAAGACUUUCUUAACUUUUUGCACUCUGGUUUGUUUCUAACAUUUAUGUCCAGUACAGUUUGCUGAUUAUAUGCUCAUUUGCUGAGUAUAUGCCCAUUGACUUUUAGCCUUCAAUAAUGUGUCUCCAGUCAAGCAAAUUUUGCCAAGCCUUUUGACAUAUGCUACCACAAUAAUAAAGCUGAGAAAAUAAAAUAUCCA
rnacentral:lncRNA from 1 species